rnacentral:rRNA from 1 species
CGCUGGCGGCAGGCUUAACACAUGCAAGUCGAACGCCCCGCAAGGGGAGUGGCAGACGGGUGAGUAACGCGUGGGAAUCUACCGUGCCCUGCGGAAUAGCUCCGGGAAACUGGAAUUAAUACCGCAUACGCCCUACGGGGGAAAGAUUUAUCGGGGUAUGAUGAGCCCGCGUUGGAUUAGCUAGUUGGUGGGGUAAAGGCCUACCAAGGCGACGAUCCAUAGCUGGUCUGAGAGGAUGAUCAGCCACAUUGGGACUGAGACACGGCCCAAACUCCUACGGGAGGCAGCAGUGGGGAAUAUUGGACAAUGGGCGCAAGCCUGAUCCAGCCAUGCCGCGUGAGUGAUGAAGGCCUUAGGGUUGUAAAGCUCUUUCACCGGAGAAGAUAAUGACGGUAUCCGGAGAAGAAGCCCCGGCUAACUUC